UUGAAUAAACCUGGUGGGUUGUUGCUGGCUCUUCGGGGCAUGUGCACACUCGCCAUCUUUAUCCAUCCACCUGUGCACCAUGUGUAGUCUUGAGGGGGUCUGAGUUGUGGUUCGAUUGUCGGCCGCAAAGCUGUCCUCGCAGGUCUAUGUCUUUUCUAUACACCACGUAACAUGUCGUAGAAUGCAUUUGAUGGGCCUCUGUGCCUAUAAAACUAUAAUA
rnacentral:misc_RNA from 1 species